GCAGAUGCAGCUCACUAGAGAGCACUUGCCUAAAGUACAUGAAGUCCUGGGUUCAAUUCCCAGAACUGCA
rnacentral:tRNA from 1 species